rnacentral:rRNA from 1 species
AGUGAACGCUGGCGGUAGGCCUAACACAUGCAAGUCGAACGGCAGCACAGUAAGAGCUUGCUCUUACGGGUGGCGAGUGGCGGACGGGUGAGGAAUACAUCGGAAUCUACUUUUUCGUGGGGGAUAACGUAGGGAAACUUACGCUAAUACCGCAUACGACCUACGGGUGAAAGCAGGGGAUCUUCGGACCUUGCGCGGUUGAAUGAGCCGAUGUCGGAUUAGCUAGUUGGCGGGGUAAAGGCCCACCAAGGCGACGAUCCGUAGCUGGUCUGAGAGGAUGAUCUGCCACACUGGAACUGAGACACGGUCCAGACUCCUACGGGAGGCAGCAGUGGGGAAUAUUGGACAAUGGGCGCAAGCCUGAUCCAGCCAUACCGCGUGGGUGAAGAAGGCCUUCGGGUUGUAAAGCCCUUUUGUUGGGAAAGAAAAGCAGCAGGUUAAUACCCCGCUGUUCUGACGGUACCCAAAGAAUAAGCACCGGCUAACUUCGUG